rnacentral:rRNA from 1 species
GACAGAGGGUGCAAACGUUGCUCGGAAUUACUGGGCGUAAAGCGCGUGUAGGUGGAUUGGUGUGUCAGAUGUGAAAGCCCUGGGCUCAACCCAGGAACUGCACCUGAAACUACCAGUCUUGAGUGGUGGAGAGGAAGUGGAAUUCCUGGUGUAGAGGUGAAAUUCGUAGAUAUCAGGAGGAACACCAGUGGCGAAGGCGGCUUCCUGGACACCAACUGACGCUGAGACGCGAAAGCGUGGGGAGCAAACAGG